rnacentral:rRNA from 1 species
AGUGAACGCUGGCGGUAGGCCUAACACAUGCAAGUCGAGCGGCAGCACAGUAAGAGCUUGCUCUUACGGGUGGCGAGUGGCGGACGGGUGAGGAAUACAUCGGAAUCUACUUUUUCGUGGGGGAUAACGUAGGGAAACUUACGCUAAUACCGCAUACGACCUACGGGUGAAAGCAGGGGAUCUUCGGACCUUGCGCGAUUGAAUGAGCCGAUGUCGGAUUGGCUAGUUGGCGGGGUAAAGGCCCACCAAGGCGACGAUCCGUAGCUGGUCUGAGAGGAUGAUCAGCCACACUGGAACUGAGACACGGUCCAGACUCCUACGGGAGGCAGCAGUGGGGAAUAUUGGACAAUGGGCGCAAGCCUGAUCCAGCCAUACCGCGUGGGUGAAGAAGGCCUUCGGGUUGUAAAGCCCUUUUGUUGGGAAAGAAAAGCAGCAGGUUAAUACCCCGCUGUUCUGACGGUACCCAAAGAAUAAGCACCGGCUAACUUCGUG